ACAUGCAAGUCGCACGAGAACGCUUCAGCUUGCUGAAGCUAGUAAAGUGGCGUACGGGUGAGUAACGCGUGGGUAAUCUACCUCCAAAUUGGGGAUAACAUUGCGAAAGCGAUGCUAAUACCGAAUAAUAUCUCCAAAACUUCGGUUUUAGAGAUCAAAGAUGGCCUCUCCAUGGAAGCUACUGUUAGGAGAUGAGCCCGCGUACCAUUAGCUUGUUGGUAGGGUAAUGGCCUACCAAGGCGACGAUGGUUAGCUGGUCUGAGAGGAUGAUCAGCCACACUGGAACUGACACACGGUCCAGACUCCUACGGGAGGCAGCAGUGAGGAAUUUUGCGCAAUGGGGGAAACCCUGACGCAGCAACGCCGCGUGAGUGAUGAAGGCUUUCGGGUCGUAAAGCUCUGUCAAGUGGGAAGAACCUGCCCAGUGCUAAUAUCACCGGGCACUGACGGUACCACUGAAGGAAGCACCGGCUAACUCCGUG
rnacentral:rRNA from 1 species